rnacentral:rRNA from 1 species
UACACGCUGUGACUAGCAUAUCAAUAAGCGGAGGAAAAGAAACUAACAAGGAUUCCCCUAGUAACGGCGAGUGAAGCGGGAGGAGCUCAAAUCUUGAAAUCUUAAAGGGUUUCCCUUUACGAAUUGUAGUUUAAAGAAGUGUUUUCUGUUGAGGUUUUGGUAAAAGUUCUUUGGAAUAGGACAUCAUAGAGGGUGAGAAUCCCGUAUUUGACCUUUACUUUCAACUUUGUGAUACACUUUCAAAGAGUCGGAUUGUUUGGGAAUGCAGUCCAAAAUGGGUGGUAAAUUUCAUCUAAAGCUAAAUAUUGGCGAGAGACCGAUAGCGAACAAGUACCGUGAGGGAAAGAUGAAAAGAACUUUGAAAAGAGAGUUAAACAGUACGUGAAAUUGUCAAAAGGGAAGCGUUUGACACCAGUGUUGUUUUUCUGAAAAUCAAUUAAAGAACUGUUUAUGCUAAGUUGUUUAGACUUUAUCAGCUAUCUGUUUAGUUUUGAGCUUUUCUUUAAUGCACUUUUCAGUUAACAAGUCAACAUCAAUUUCUUUUGCUGUAAAAAAGCUUGAGGAAGGUGGCUUGAGAUUCGUCUUAAGUGUUUAUAGCCUCUUGCCUAUGCAGUCGGAGAGAUUGAGGUCUGCAGCGUAGAUCCUUCGGGGCUAAAUGCAUUUGUGCUAAGUUAUAGCAUUUUAUAGACAACUUGUUGACUAUGAUUUGUCUUGUAGCUUACUCGCUUAUGUUAUUUUACCUACGCUUAGGAUGUUGAAGAUGUAGCACAUCAU